AACGCACCUUGCGCUCUAUGGCAAUCCGUAGAGCAUGCCUGUUUGAGUGCCAUGAAAUCUCCCACCCCAAGCGGUUUUUGAAUGAAACGGCUUGGCGGAUGGGGUCUGGAUGGGUGCCUCUGCCUGUGCUUACCUUUUAGCCCACAGGCUCGCCCGAAAUGCAUGAGCGCCUUGGGACACUUUGCAUCCGCCUCUCUUGUGGGGAGGAGGCGGCCAAGCAGUGUUUUUCUCCAGGCAUGGCAUGAUACGUCAUUUGCUAUGUCGCCCAAUGGAGGAAUGUUUGGUUGUGUCUGCGUGUGCUUCGAACUUGCCUCUGUGCAAAUCCCCUUUCACUUCUGGUCUCAAAUCAGGUAGGAUCACCCGCUGAACUUAA
rnacentral:ncRNA from 2 species